GAGGGUACACUAUUCAGGAACUACAGCUUUACAAAUCCAAAUGUUCUAAACUCAUCACCUAUCAUUAACUUGUUAGACCACUCGGGCAUGGCCAACGACUGAAGAUGUGCAUAAAAUGAGAGGAUAAAAAUACAGGAUCAACAAUACAUAAACGGGAAAGCAGCAUGGGAGAGACGGUGGAUUUCUAUAGGAGGGAAUAGGGAAUUAUUAAUAAGUUCUGUCAAAUGCAGCAAGAUGUUUGAGACCAAGGCUGAGUUCAGCUCUUAUUCACCAUAUCCUGAUAUCCAUGCUUCAACCCUAGAAAAGAAACCAAAGGAAAAAAAAAAGGAGGGGGGAGGGGAAUACUUUGAAAAAGGAGAAAAAAAGAAGACAGGGCAGUGGAAAAGAUGAGGGAGUUAUGCCUUUUCUCCUUGAGUGCAAAAAGCACAUGCAAUCUUCAACCAAAACAAAGUAUCUUAAGAGUUUAAAUUCCAAAUGAUUAAACUAGCACAAACCUAGCUCCAAUAAGAUGACCAAAUAAUGUCUCAAAUCCCAAAUAGGAACCUGAUAGUGGUUAGAUGAAGUUUUCCCAGUGUGAACCAUGAGAUAAAGCAGAGUGCUAAAGGUUACAAAUUGCUUCAGUUGAUCAACAGAAUUUUGGUGAUUGAACAGAAGAAAGUUGAAGUUACCAUAGCAAAAGAAUUAAUAUUUAUCCAUCUAGGAGACAAAGUGCAAGCAAUUUUAACUUGCUAAUUAGUAGUAUUAUAAAACAGAACUAGCCUAACACUGGCAUAGAAGAUUACCUGUGACAAACCAUGAACUUAAGUGAUUAACCAAUCUGUCAAGGGGAUCAAACAGAGACAUUCAUCCCAGAGGAAUCUGGUUACACAGGACCUUAAAGUAGCUUUCGCCAACAACUUUCCUUGGAAAGGAGGAAAAACAAAGAAAUGAAAACAAAAGAAAACAAAACGAGGAAAGUAAAAAAGUGGGACUAGAUAAAGAACCAGGUUGGUAACACAAUUAAAAUAAAAAUAAAAAGGAAAGUUACAAAGUAUUGCAGACAGCAGCAGAGAAAUGCAUUCAUUCAUAUUUCUAUCAAUCAACACUAAACAAAUUUCAAAAUUAUCAAUAGAAAUUUAAUAGCAUUAGCUCUCUACCACAAAGCAACUGCAUACCUUCACAUAGAUUAAUUAAAAACCAACCCUCCAAAAAUUAUCAUUGAACAGCUUCAGCAAGAAUACCAUGUAUAAAACCUGCAUGAGUAGGGAUAUAACAGGCCAUCCAGACCAUCGAAGGCAAAAAUGAAAAAUGGAACCUAUGAUCAAGUUCAUCAAAGAAAGGACAAUAGUUGUAGAACAUAAAGGCUGCUAGAAGGCAGAGGUGGCUGUAAGAAAAUAAGAAUCAGUAACCAAAACGGCAGAUCAAAGAGGCCUACAGUAAGACCUAGCUUCCCAACAAGGAUCACUUAUUUUCUAGACUGACAGUAACAAGCCCCUAUUCUACAAUUAACAGAUUGGAGGACAUAUGACUUCAGGUACAUGUAGACCUGCUAGUACAUGAGUUUCUAAAUAAUUCAAUACAGAGGCAAAGUUAAUGGAAACAAGGAAUCGAACUUUCAAAUAAACAAAAAUUAAAUUCACAGUUCAGCAAUGGAGAUAAUGGUCCAACAUACAUCUAGCAGUAAAAGAAGCUUACUACAAACAUUGCAUGGUUGAUUCCAGAAGAAAGCAGAACACUGCUUGGAAUACUUUAUCCAUAGUAAAUGACAUCUCAGAGACUUCAAUUCCAAUCUGUUCCACACUC
rnacentral:lncRNA from 1 species